CAACCAUGGAUAUAGGAGAUCUAGAUUGCUGACGCAUACCUAGCGCAGGCGGGGCCUGCAUGAUAAAUCCAAGAUGGCGGUACAACAGGGCAGAAAACCAUUUGGUAUUCCUUUAAUAUUGUUUCUUUGUGACAUUCAGGUGUAAAGGUACGUCAUAUAGCGUGGAAUCCAACUUUUACUGACGUUGUUGCUGUCCUGUUGAUGGAUGGUCAGGUGAUUUUGGUUAAAUUGACUGGAACUGUAGCAACUGUGUCUGCAAGUCUUAAAGCAACAGCCACUGCCG